rnacentral:rRNA from 1 species
GAUCAUGGCUCAGGAUGAACGCUAGCUACAGGCUUAACACAUGCAAGUCGAGGGGCAGCAUGAUUGAAGCUUGCUUCAAUUGAUGGCGACCGGCGCACGGGUGAGUAACACGUAUCCAACCCGCCGAUAACUCGGCGAUAGCCUUUCGAAAGAAAGAUUAAUACCCGAUAGUAUAGUAUUUCCGCAUGGUUUCACUAUUAAAGAAUUUCGGUUAUCGAUGGGGAUGCGUUCCAUUAGA